rnacentral:rRNA from 1 species
AGAACGAACGCUGGCGGCGUGCUUAACACAUGCAAGUCGAACGUGAACGGUUUCUUCGGAAACCUAGUAGAGUGGCGCACGGGUGAGUAACGCGUAGAUAACCUGUCCUUAUGUCUGGGAUACCCCACCGAAAGGUGGACUAAUACCGGAUGUUCUUGUUUUUCAUAAGUAUAAUAAGAAAAGGUGGCCUCUGAUUUAAGCUACUGCAUGAGGAGGGGUCUGCGUACCAUUAGCUUGUUGGUGGGGUAAGAGCCUACCAAGGCAUCGAUGGUUAGCGGGUCUGAGAGGAUGAUCCGUCACACUGGCACUGAAACACGGGCCAGACUCCUACGGGAGGCAGCAGUGAGGAACAUUGCGCAAUGGGGGAAACCCUGACGCAGCGACGCCGCGUGAGUGAGGAAGGCUUUCGGGUCGUAAAGCUCCGUCAAAAGGGAAGAAAUGCAUAGUGGUUAAUACCUAUUAUGUUUGACGGUACCUUUAAAGGAAGCACCGGCUAACUCCGUGCCAGCAGCCGCGGUAAUACGGAGGGUGCAAGCGUUGUUCGGAAUUACUGGGCGUAAAGGGCGCGUAGGCGGCUUGAUAAGUCAGAUGUGAAAGCCCACGGCUUAACCGUGGAAGUGCAUUUGAAACUGUCAAGCUUGAGUAUCAGAGGGGAAAGCGGAAUUCCUGGUGUAGAGGUGAAAUUCGUAGAUAUCAGGAGGAAUACCAGUGGCGAAGGCG